GAGAGCACAGUACGAUGAAAGUUGUAAGCUGUGUUCGGGGGGAGUUAUAGUGUAUCGCUGGCCUCGAUGGUAGAAUCGGUCGGGGAACCCGAGAGGCGGUGGUUUACCUUGU
rnacentral:ncRNA from 1 species